rnacentral:rRNA from 1 species
UUGAACUGAAGAGUUUGAUCCUGGCUCAGAUUGAACGCUGGCGGCAUGCCUUACACAUGCAAGUCGAACGGCAGCACGGGCUUCGGCCUGGUGGCGAGUGGCGAACGGGUGAGUAAUACAUCGGAACAUGUCCUGUAGUGGGGGAUAGCCCGGCGAAAGCCGGAUUAAUACCGCAUACGAUCCACGGAUGAAAGCGGGGGACCUUCGGGCCUCGCGCUAUAGGGUUG